GACGAACGCUGGCGGCGGGCUUAACACAUGCAAGUCGAACGGAAAGGCCCUGCUUGUGUGGGGUGCUCGAGUGGCGAACGGGUGAGUAACACGUGAGUAACCUGCCCUUGACUUUGGGAUAACUUCAGGAAACUGGGGCUAAUACCGGAUAGGAGCUCCUGCUGCAUGGUGGGGGUUGGAAAGUUUCGGCGGGUGGGGAUGGACUCGCGGCUUAUCAGCUUGUUGGUUGGGUAGUGGCUUACCAAGGCUUUGACGGGUAGCCGGCCUGAGAGGGUGACCGGCCACAUUGGGACUGAGAUACGGCCCAGACUCCUACGGGAGGCAGCAGUGGGGAAUAUUGCACAAUGGGCGGAAGCCUGAUGCAGCAACGCCGCGUGCGGGAUGACGGCCUUCGGGUUGAAAACCGCUUUCGCCUGUGACGAAGCGUGAGUGACGGUAAUGGGUAAAGAAGCACCGGCUAACUACGUG
rnacentral:rRNA from 1 species